CUUGGGAGUGGCGAGGAAACCGUUACCAUUACUGAGUUUAGUAAUGGUAACGGUUCUCUUGCUGCACCCAGA
rnacentral:pre_miRNA from 1 species